rnacentral:tRNA from 1 species
CGGGAGGUAGCUCAGUGGUUAGAGCUCUGGACUCUCAAGCCUGACACCCCUGAGUUCUGUCCCCGGCGUCCCGG